rnacentral:rRNA from 1 species
AUUGAACGCUGGCGGCAUGCCUUACACAUGCAAGUCGAACGCGAAAGCGGGGCAACCCGCAAGUAGAGUGGCGAACGGGUGAGUAAUACAUCGGAACGUGUCCAGUAGCGGGGGAUAACCUCUCGAAAGAGAGGCUAAUACCGCAUACGACCUACGGGUGAAAGAGGGGGAUCGCAAGACCUCUCACUAUUGGAGCGGCCGAUGUCGGAUUAGCUAGUUGGCGGGGUAAAAGCCCACCAAGGCUACGAUCCGUAGCUGGUCUGAGAGGACGACCAGCCACACUGGAACUGAGACACGGUCCAGACUCCUACGGGAGGCAGCAGUGGGGAAUUUUGGACAAUGGGCGAAAGCCUGAUCCAGCCAUGCCGCGUGAGUG